AGAGUUUGAUCCUGGCUCAGGAUGAACGCUAGCGACAGGCUUAACACAUGCAAGUCGAGGGGCAUCAUGAGGUAGCAAUACCUUGAUGGCGACCGGCGCACGGGUGAGUAACGCGUAUGCAACCUGCCCGAUACCGGGGUAUAGCCCAUGGAAACGUGGAUUAACACCCCAUAGUACUUUUAUCCUGCAUGGGAUGUGAGUUAAAUGUUCAAGGUAUCGGAUGGGCAUGCGUCCUAUUAGUUAGUUGGCGGGGUAACAGCCCACCAAGACGAUGAUAGGUAGGGGUUCUGAGAGGAAGGUCCCCCACAUUGGAACUGAGACACGGUCCAAACUCCUACGGGAGGCAGCAGUGAGGAAUAUUGGUCAAUGGGCGCGAGCCUGAACCAGCCAAGUAGCGUGGAGGACGACGGCCCUACGGGUUGUAAACUCCUUUUAUAAGGGGAUAAAGUUGGCCAUGUAUGGCCAUUUGCAGGUACCUUAUGAAUAAGCAUCGGCUAAUUCCGUGCCAGCAGCCGCGGUAAUACGGAAGAUGCGAGCGUUAUCCGGAUUUAUUGGGUUUAAAGGGAGCGUAGGCGGGCAGUCAAGUCAGCGGUCAAAUGGCGCGGCUCAACCGCGUUCCGCCGUUGAAACUGGCAGCCUUGAGUAUGCACAGGGUACAUGGAAUUCGUGGUGUAGCGGUGAAAUGCUUAGAUAUCACGAGGAACUCCGAUCGCGCAGGCAUUGUACCGGGGCAUUACUGACGCUGAGGCUCGAAGGUGCGGGUAUCAAACAGGAUUAGAUACCCUGGUAGUCCGCACAGUAAACGAUGAAUGCCCGCUGUCGGCGAUAUAGUGUCGGCGGUCUCAGGGGAUCGUGCCCCGCCAGGCACAGCAGGUAAAGCCCCGCCCGGCUGAUGCAGGCGCAGAUUCCCAGUUUGACCCCCGGCCGCCGCCCAAAGAACACCCCCAGCAGCGGUACCAGCACCACAUACAGCGCCGUGAUGAAGCCCGCCUUGCCGGGGGAAGUGGUGUCCAGACCCUUUUGCUGAAGGAAGGAGGCAAGGCCCAGCGU
rnacentral:rRNA from 1 species